rnacentral:rRNA from 1 species
AUGAACGAGAAGAGAGACACAUUGAUCGACCGUUCCUGUUGCUGUGUUGCUGAUCGACGGUGCUGUUCUGUUGCCGUGGUGGUUAUGCUGGCCAUGCAUGCUGAUUUACCGGGCGACGGCGGUCACGCAGAGGGGAUCAGUUCGGUUUGGGCCAUGGUUGCCUCGGCGUUUCCCUCUCAAGGUUGGUGGUACUUCUCCUCCCGAACGAACGUAACUAAUCCAAGGCUAGCUAGCUUGGCAGCAGCUAUAUAUGACCACCCCCCAUUCGUUGCCAUUGUUUCCUUGCACCCCAUCACCGGCAACAACUUCAUUCCCCUCGACUCAACACCAUCGUCUCCCCUCCCCUCCUACUCCCUCUCAUCAGUUGUUGCUGGUUUUAGGCUAUAG